rnacentral:rRNA from 1 species
UACGUAGGUGGCAAGCGUUAUCCGGAUUUAUUGGGUUUAAAGGGAGCGUAGGCGGUUUUGUAAGUCAGUGGUGAAAGACGGUCGCUCAACGAUCACAUUGCCAUUGAUACUGCAAGGCUAGAGUACAGUAGAGGUGGGCGGAAUUUAUGGUGUAGCGGUGAAAUGCAUAGAUACCAUAAAGAACACCGAUUGCGUAGGCAGCUCACUGGACUGUAACUGACGCUGAGGCUCGAAAGUGUGGGUAUCAAAACAGGAU